AAAACGACUCUCGGCAACGGAUAUCUCGGCUCUCGCAUCGAUGAAGAACGUAGCGAAAUGCGAUACUUGGUGUGAAUUGCAGAAUCCCGUGAACCAUCGAGUUUUUGAACGCAAGUUGCGCCCAAAGCCAUUAGGCUAAAGGCACGUCUGCCUGGGCGUCACGC
rnacentral:rRNA from 1 species